AGAGUUUGAUCAUGGCUCAGAGCGAACGCUGGCGGCGUGCUUAACACAUGCAAGUCGAGCGCAGGCAUCUUGGGGGCAACUCCGAGGUGUGCUGAGCGGCGAACGGGUGAGUAAUACGUAAAUAACCUACCUUUAGGACUGGGAUAACCCCGGGAAACUGGGGUUAAUACCAGAUAAGACCACGAUUUCCACGGAAGCUGAGGUAAAAGAUGGCUAGGUAACUAGCUCUCGCCUAGAAAUGGGUUUACGUCCCAUCAGGUAGUUGGUGAGGUAAUGGCUCACCAAGCUUAAGACGGGUAGCUGACCUUAGCGGGUAGUCAGCCACACGGGAACUGAGACACGGUCCCGACUCCUACGGGAGGCAGCAGUGGGGAAUAUUGGGCAAUGGGCGAAAGCCUGACCCAGCGACGCCGCGUGGGGGAUGAAGGUCCUCGGAUUGUAAACCCCUGUCAGGAGGGACGAUGGGUCUAUGGGCUAAUAUCCCAUAGACUUGACGGUACCUUCAGAGGAAGCCCCGGCUAACUCCGUGCCAGCAGCCGCGGUAAUACGGAGGGGGCGAGCGUUGCUCGGACUUACUGGGCGUAAAGGGUCCGUAGGUUGCUUUGUAAGUUAGAUGUGAAAGCUCAGGGCUUAACCCUGAAAUUGCAUCUAAGACUGCGGAGCUAGAGUUCGGAAGAGGUUGGCGGAAUUCCCGGUGUAGCGGUGAAAUGCGUAGAUAUCGGGAGGAACACCAGUGGCGAAGGCGGCCAACUGGUCCGACACUGACACUGAGGGACGAAAGCGUGGGGAGCGAACCGGAUUAGAUACCCGGGUAGUCCACGCCUUAAACGAU
rnacentral:rRNA from 1 species